UUUACUGUACUUCAUAACUAGCUACCUGGAAGAUGGAUUUUCUUGGCUUGUGUCAUAAACAGAUAGUUAAGGGUUAAUGUCUCUUUUACCUGUAAAGGGUUAACAAGCUCCGUGAACCUGGCUGACACCUGACCAAAGGAUCAAUCAGGGGACAAGAUACUUUCAAAUCUUGGUGGAGGGAAGUCUUUGUUUGUGCUGUUCUUUGCUCUCUCUUGCAGCUAAGAGGGACCAGAUGUGCAACCAGGUUUCUCCAAUCUUUCUGAAACAGUCUCUCAUGUUCAAAAUAGCACAAGAAGAGCGUCCCUUUCCUCAUUAAUGAUGCCUAUGAAGAUUAAGCGGGCUCUUCAGGAACAACACAGUACAAAGGAUUGGUGAAUGGCUCUAUCACAUCUUGGAAAUGCUACAUGCAAGGGUGCUUGUCUCAUUGCAGGAAACUAAAAGGUAGAACAGGCUCAUCAGAAUAUUUUUCAUCUCUUUGCUGUUUGGACUCUUUCAAGGGCAGGAGCUAAGAAACGAACAAGCAGAGAUCUCCAGGGUUGUCCUGAGUUAAGCCCUGAAAAGACAUUCAGUGUUGACAUUACUACUUCUCUGUGAUCUUUUUGGAAACGUAGCCUGAACUCAUUUGUGCACAUAUGUUCCCUGCUUUAAUCUGUAAAUAACUCUCAUUUCUUUUUCUUAGUUAAUAAAUCCUUAAAUAGUUUAUUACAA